GGUGCGCCCUGCAGGCUGCGUCAGCCUGUUGUGAAAUGGGACGGUCUACCCUUUGCAGCAUUUCCUGGUUGCGUCACCAGAUGUUCCCGCCCCUACCCGUAUUUAUGCAGCCCAGGUGCCCAAAAGUGACGAGAAGAGUAUACUUCUAAGUUUGUGGAAAUGUCUGAGAGAAGAAAAAAACAACUGAUUUCCUUUUUAACUCUCCUUAUUUUGGAGGAAGAGGAGAACCGGCUCCGUCACCGCCGCCGUUGGCUGUUAUAUCUCUGUUUGAGAGAGGACCAAGAGACCAGAGCCCUGUACUGCAGGCUGAAUAUGGCGGUCCCGGUCCUGGACCGAUUUUUCAAUAAUGGCAACACCAGGCAGGACUUCAGGCUGAGCAGAGAGUCUCUGGCAGUGCUGCUGAACCUUCUCCGACAGGAUCGGAGAGAUGGAUGGGGUGCCACAAUAGAGACCUUGGUGUUCCUUUUCUGGCUUGCGAGUGGGACAUCAUACAGGGUGGUCUCAAGGGUGUUUGGGAUGCCUCUCUCCACUAUCCACCGUAUCGUCCACCGAGUUACUGCGGAGGUAGUGACCAUUCGCCACAAGGUCAUCUACCUCCCACAGACCGCUGAAGACCUGGCGGAAGUAACUCGUGGGUUUGCAGGGCUUGGCAGGACACAGAGCUUUUUUAAAAGCUGCUGGAUCGAUCGAUGGCUGCCAUGUCAGAAUAAAGCCACCAAGCGGCCCUGAUGGUCACUGCUAUAAGAACAGGAAACUGUUCUCUUCCAUCAUACUGCAAGCAGUUUGUGACCAUCAGGGCUGCUUUAUAGACACGUAUGUGGGCUGUCCGGGGUCAGUGCACGACUCCCGAGUACUCCAGCACAGCCCACUGUACAGGCGGUCUAUCUACCCUCCUCCAGGGUACUUCAUCCUCGCAGACGGCAGGUACCCUUGCCUCUAACAUCCACUCCCCCUCAUCACUCCCUACAAGCGGCCGGUGCAAGGUGUGGCAGCCCAGCACUUUAACGUCCGUCAUUCCAGGGCAUGCUCUAUCAUUGAGCGUGCCUUUGGAAUGAUGAAGACCAGGUUCAGGUCGAUCUUCCUUAAAGCGCUGGAGGUGCACCACACCUUUGUGCCUCAGGUAACUCAACAUGAUUCAUUUUUUUUUUUUUUUUUUGCGUAUUGAAGCAGAGUAAAUCAAAAUUAAUGAAUAUUUACUGUUUUUGAUUUCAGGUCAUAACAGCAUGUGCCGUCCUGCACAUCUGCCUGGGGAAGGUGACAUCAUGCCCCCAGAAGAUGAGCUGCAGGACGUCAUGCCGGAGGAUGAGGGGGAGGACGGGUUGGAGGCAGUGUUGCCAGAUCAGAUUGACAGUUUCCAGCCCAAUCACAUCUUAGAACCCGCCCAAUCCAAUAAAAACACGCCCAAACCACGAAGUUGCCAGACACCCGUGUAAACCCGUAAAAUCAUGACACAUGCAAUAGAAAACACACCCAGAGCUUCAUGUCUGCAUCAAAUAACCACACAUAAAUGACAGAAAAAUAGGUUUUUGCAAAUUGCAACCAACAAUAGCACAGCAAAUGAACCAUAGGCUACACAAAUGGCAAAAUGAACCUCUGGCAUUCUAGCGCAAGGCCCAGAUUAGUAAAAAUGCCAGCUGCACGUAAAAAGGUGCACUUUUAAGCUGUGUAGGCCAACAUCACAAAUGACUUGUAUGAGGACUACAUGCAAAACAGUUUAAUGCACAACAAAAUUAUGCACAUACAGAGCGCCUCUCCCUCCCCCCUUCUCUUUUUCUCCUUGCUGCUUUCCAUACCUGUGGUGCUGAAAGACGCACAACGACCUGGCCGUACAGCAGCUGAUUGAGAUUCCGAACACUCAAAACCACGAAGAAAUUGUUUUUAGUUCAAGGAGCAAAUGCCAUAGAAUAAGUGGGCUACAGUUACCAAAAUCAGUCACAGUGCAAAUAAGAUAAGGUGACAUAAAAAUCAUCUUACCUUUACGCAGUCAGCGUUGUUAGUGCCAUUGAUAAAAUAAUAACUAUGUAUUUUGUUUUGUUAAGAAUAAGUGACUCCACAGUUUACUUCGAGCCAUGCUUAACUAGAACUGCCAAUUACUGCAGUCAGCCCUGGCCUCUGAUUGGCUGCACAGUUAACAAGCGUGCCUGUGCUUGUUAGAUUUUUUAAUUGAAGCUGUCGAGCCUUGAGAGCACACUAGUUUUUGACCGUGCUUUGAACCACUGUUAUUUUACAUUUAUUGUGCUUACCAUAAGCUUGUUUGACUGAAGAAAGUCUCCAUAGACGGUCAAAACGAACGAAGAACGUGGUCCACUGAGUUUUUGUUGAAGCAGGCGUCAACGAACUUGGACUCUGUGGCUUAAGUGGGCAUCUUUAGAGAACAGACGGAGCCACAUUAACAAGCGUCUUUCCACUAACUAGAACAAUGUUGAGAACUUGAACUUUUUACAGUCACUGGAAGCCAGGUCAGCUGGCUAAUACAUGGACGAAUCAAAUCUCCCCAGCAACUGUCGGGGAGGCUUGAAAGUGGCGGACGUCAGUCCGUUUCUGCUCAGGCCAGAGCGCACAUCCAUGAGGCUGGAAAGGAGCAGUAAUCCCAUGCGAUUUCUGGUGUCAUCCUUCAGCAGUGUCACCUGGGAAAACGCUCUCUCAACGUGGGCAUUUGAUAUUGGCAGAGUGAGCAAUCUGAUGACACCCAGCGCUAAAUCUUUGAAACACUGGUUUCCUCCAGCAUCUUUGAAAGCCUCAACUUCCAGCCAAAAGGCAUCAAUGGCAAGAUCACUUGAGAAGCCGGCUGAUGCAACGUUUCUCCACUGGCUCUCCAAGGUGUCCACCGAACAAGAGAAAAACUCAGCGGGCAAGUCUUUUACUCCUGGCCUAUUUAUUGUUGACAUCACCAGCUUCGGACAAAAAAGCUCCAGUUUGCGGAGCAUUUCCAGUGAUGCAGGAAGAUGCAUUUGAUACUGCACCAGCACUUCUUUUAGAAAAUCAAAACAGCGGGCGGAAAUUGUAUCCUUCAGCUCCGGCGCUAAUGUGCUGGCUUCCAGCUGCUGUUGGAAAGAGGAGCCCAGGUCUGCGUCCUGGUGUGAGAGGUACAGGCUGGAUGAUUUAAGGUCAAGCUCCCUGAGAAGACUGUCGCUGUUCAUGCGCAGCACGCUGGGCUUCACAACUCUCCUCAUUGUGGACAUGUACAGCCUGUCAAGAUCCCUGAAAACACCCAGCGUAUCUCCUGUUUCCAGCUGGAAAUAUUUGUUCACAGUUUUGAUUUCCAUCAACACGGGCCGGAGGAAGUGCAUGUACAGACUGUUGGAUUUGUCACUGUAUAUUUCAUUCAAAAGCCUGGCUGCAUAGCAGUGUUCGGCACUUGAAACUAAACUGAAGUGCAGCUUGAGGACAUCUUCCUGCUCUAAAAUUCUCUCAAUGCAGUCUGAGAUCACUAACCAACGAGUUGAGCUGGGGGAUAUGAAUUUCAGAGGACAGCCACCGUCAUUGAUGGCCUUGUAGACGCUGUUAUAGUCACUCUGGCAUUUUGCUGAGUGUGCGAACCAGUUGUAGGUUUCUCUGAUCAUAUAUUCCAGAUUGCUUGGAAGAAGUUGAAUUGCUUUAUGAGCCACUAUAUCCAGUGAGUGGCAAACGCAGCGAAUAAGCUGCAAACUAGGCUGCUUCUGUUUGAGCAGUGUGAAAACGGAGUGAUUUUUUCCGACCAUAACACUUGCGCCGUCUGUGGCAAUCCCCACCAGAUGUUUGAUGUCCAGGCCACAUUCACACAGGAAAGCAACGAUAGCAUCUGACAUGCCUUGAGCAUCAGCGCUGAGGAGAUCAACAAGCCCCAGAUAAGUACUGACAAACUUGUUGUGUUUCUGUGAUCGGUAUUUCACAAAUAUGCAGAGGGGCUUGUUAACGGAUAUAUCUGUUGUUUUGUCCAGGUAGAGAGAAUAUGGAGACUCACCAACAUCUUCCUUCAACUCCUCUCUGAAAUGUGGUGCCAGAACAGAUGUGAUGACAGCUGUACACUUUGUCCUGUGCAUCUUGAACGCUCCCAUCUCCUCCUGGAGUAUAUCUGACAAGUCAUGAACAGCAUUGAUGGAAGUGUGGCAGGCAACGUAGGUUGCAAUCCUCAGCUCACAACGUUUUUGGUCAUCUUUGACUCCUACACCAGAUCCCAUCGGCACAGCAAACGAUUUAACACUCGGCACACAGCGGGACUUGUGUUUUUUUGUGGCGCCAUGUUCCUUCAGAUCAUUAAGGUGAGCUCUUAUUUCUGUGUUACAAUACUUGCAACGAGCUUUAGAGUCGUCUCCUGGGACAGAUGUGAUCCAGGUUUUUAGUUCGGGGCCAGUCUCCCAUUCCUUCCUGUACGAUUUCUUGUAUUAUCCCCACUUCGGCAUGAUGCUAACUUAGGCCA
ensembl:lncRNA